UACGGGGGGAGCAAGCGUUGCUCGGAAUCACUGGGCGUAAAGGGUGCGUAGGCGGGUCUUUAAGUCAGGGGUGAAAUCCUGGAGCUCAACUCCAGAACUGCCUUUGAUACUGAAGAUCUUGAGUUCGGGAGAGGUGAGUGGAACUGCGAGUGUAGAGGUGAAAUUCGUAGAUAUUCGCAAGAACACCAGUGGCGAAGGCGGACUCACUGGCCCCGAUACUGACGCUGAGGCACGAAAGCGUGGGGAAGCA
rnacentral:rRNA from 1 species